rnacentral:rRNA from 1 species
GUGCCAGCAGCCGCGGUAAUACGUAGGCAGCAAACGUUGUUCGGAAUUACUGGGCGUAAAGAGUGUGUAGGCGGUUUGGCAAGUUUGGUGUGAAAUCUCCCGGCUUAACUGGGAGGGUGCGCCGAAAACUGCCAGGCUAGAGUAUUGGAGAGGAAAGCGGAAUUCCUGGUGUAGCGGUGAAAUGCGUAGAUAUCAGGAGGAACACCGGUGGUGUAGACGGCUUUCUGGACAAUUACUGACGCUGAGACACGAAAGCGUGGGGAGCAAACAGGAUUAGAAACCCUCGUAGUCC